UGAAAUAAUGAAAGAAAUGAAAUGAAAUCCCCCGGAGACAAAGCAUCAGGGACGCUGGACCUGACCCGUCCAUCUCCGAGCUGGGCUUCCCCUCCCCGGAGACCCGGCUGCUACGCACGUGCGGGUCGGCGUGGCCUGGGUCCUCGGGCGGUUGUGGCCGGCCCACCAGCGCCCGGCUCCCUCCUCCUCCUCCACCCGGCCCCUCUUCCUUUUCUGUCUUCCACUUUUCCUCCCCUGGCCAACGUCUUUUAGUCCUCAGGGACACUCCCGAUGCUUCUGCCAUUAAUCAUCUUUUUUUCUUCUUCUUUUUUUCAUUCUACCAAUGAGAACAUCCUCCUCUGGCAGUAAUGUAUACUCCCCCCUUUUCAGUCGGCGUGUGACUUUAUCUUCAAUAUGUGUGGACUCUGUGCCAGGUGCCAAGUGGGGCACUGAGCCAGACACCGGCAUCGUGGCAGCCCGGCUUCCACCAGGACAUAAAGACGGCUCGGCCGUCCAAGGGGAGUGUGGCUGUGGCGUCGGGGGAGAGUGGGGUGACAGGUUUCCUCAGCCAACUGAGCCCUGAAACUUAAAGGACGGAUCAGACUUGCUGAGGCUGAACAGAGUCGAAGCAGAGGAGACUGGGCGUCUGACAGGAGCGCGUGAUGUCCGGGAACUGAAAGAAGGAUCCUGGAGCAGCGCGACAAGUGGGAAGAGGGCCCAGCUCUGGCCCAGCUCAUGAGAGUUUAACCCGGUGUCCAGCGCCCUGGGGAGCCAUUAACGGGUUUUGAGCAGGGAACUUAAUUCUUGAGAUCUGUUUUUGGAACAAUACCUUGAGGGUCUGGGGGGUGGCACAGCCAGUUAAGCACACAUAGUGCAAAGUGCAAGGAUCUGGGUUCCAGCCCCCGGCUCCCUAUCUGAGGGGGGGAGGAUGCUUCACUAACUGAAGCAGGUCUGCAGGUGUCUUUCUCUCUCCCUCUCUGUCUCCCCCCUCCUCUCUCAAUUUCUCUCUGUCCUGCCCAAUAAGAUGGAAAAAAAUGGCUUCCAGGAGCAGUGGAUUCAUAGUGCCGGCACCAAGCCCCAGCGAUAACCCUGGAGGGGAGAGAGAGAGUGACAGGGAGAGGGAAAGGGAGGCCAGGUAGGAGGCUCCUAAGGAACCCCAGAUGAACGAUACAGUAUCGUGUGGGGAUGGAGGGAAGCCAGUAGACUGAGCAGAACAGAAUCGGGUUAAAUUCCUGUGGUACAUUCACAUGCUUUACUGAGAUCUCUACCACCUGUCCUCUGUAGUUGGCAUUUUUUUUCUGUCUUCUUUUUUCUCUUGAUAUACAUAUUUUCACAGUGAGAGAGAAAUGGGGAGGGGCAGGGGAUACAGUGGGUGAGACAGAGCGACACCUGCAGCACUGUUUCUCCACUGGAGACCCAGCCCCGCCUCCCACAAGUGGGAACCAAGGGCUUGAACCCAGGUCUCUGGCGUGGUGAUGUGCUCCACCAGGCACACCGCCGUACAGCCUGCCUUCUCUUUUACAGAUGCCCAGAGCCUCUCGUGAGCCUUGCUUGUGUUGAAUAAAGCUGGAGUAGGACUGGGAGGGGAAAGGGCCCCCAACAGGACGGCAGAGAUCCGGGCUCUCGUCUAAAACUCCACGAACUGGAGUGAGUAGCUUAGCUGGCCCGGCUUCCUUUCCCUCGUGCAUAAAAUGGGGCUAAGAGCAGUGAAGACCCAGUGCGGUUGGAAAGGUCAUAACAACGAGGAGCUUUUAUGGUGUAGGCAUGCCAUGUGCCAGAUGGUGUCCUGACUGCUUUGCAAAGACGCCCUUGUAGGGACCACGUGGGGGCACACCUGGCCGAGCGCACAAGGACCUGGGUUCAAGCCCCCGGUCCCCACCUGCAAGGGGAAAGCUUCAUAAGUGGUGAAGCAAGGCUGCAGAGAUCUGGAGGCCUGGCGUGAGGCCUGGGACUUGAACCACCUUCACUGAGUUGCCUGCCUCCUGAACCUCUUUUGUCUCUCCCGACAAGGUAGUGACGGGAGUCAGAGCUGUGAAGACUGACUUAAAUGUGAAGCCCCCGACAUCCGUAGGCACCGUCUCGUGCUGGUCUCUGCAGCAGGCCGGUGGAUGCAGGGACACAGGGAGACACGGCGAACUUCAGGAGGCAGGAAAGAAGGACUUGUCACCGCCCAGCCUUGCAAAUGAAGAAUGUGUGGGUAUCCGUACAGGGGUCCUUCCUGCAGUGCGCCUUCUUGCAGAAGCCCUCGCCCUUCCAGCCCACGUCUAGGGCAUAGAACGCACUGCUCUCUUCUCUCCACAGAGCCCUGUGCUGCACAAUGUCACUGAGUGAAAAUCAGUCUGGCUGACACAUUCUGUCUAAAGGGAACAGGGAUGGAGCACUUGUGAAUUAAGUGAGUGUCGUACUGGUUUCACCAAAGUUAAUUAAAAGAAGACCAGAUCUCAUCUACAAACUAGUAAAAAAGGAGAAAGUGUGACUAGCUCAGUCUAAGUGAAGAGAUGCAGCAUUACAUGUGUAAAAGCAGACCGUCCUUGGUGUGGGGAAGUGAGUUCUUUCACGCUGUGCUGGGGGCCAGCAAGCUGCACUGCAGAGCAGUCUGGGCAGUCUCUGGGGACAUAAGCACACCUGUCAUUCACCGGGGCCCUGCUUGGCUCUGGCUGCCAGUGCAGCUGGGAACUGAGCCUGGGAGCUCAGAGCCUCAAGCAUCAAAGUCAUUCGUGGAACCAUCACGCCAUCUCCCCAGCCUUCUGGUGGCAUUUUCAAUGCUUGAUGGCCUAGAGGUGCCACCUGACCUCAUCUGUCCUGAAACAGUUUGUCUGCACGUGCUAAGAUGUCUACCCAAGAACGUUCACAGCACACUCAAUGUAAAAGCAGGUAACUGUCAGCAAAAUGAAGAGCCAUUGUGUAAAGAGGACUUUUCAGGGGGGCAGGCGGUAGCACGGCAGGUUAAGCGCAGGUGGUGCAAAGCACAAAGACCGGUAUAAGGAUCCUGGUUCAAGCCCCCGGCUCCCCACCUGCAGGGGAGUCACUUCACAGGCGGUGAAGCAGGUCUACAGGUGUCCGUCUUUCUCUCCUCCCUCUCUGUCUUCCCCUCCUCUCUCCAUUCCUGUCUGACCUAUCCAACAACGAACGACAUCAACAAUAACAAUAAUAACCACAACAAGGCUACAACAACAAAGGGGGAAAAAUGGCCUCCAGGAGCAGUGGAUCAUGGUGCAGGCUCUGAGCCCCAGCAAUAACCCUGGAGGCAAAAAAAAAAAAAAAAAGAAGCAGUUGAUAUAAACUAAAUUACGUGUAAAAUGAAUAGUUUAACAUCUUCCAAUGUCUUUUUUGUCCACCAAUUAAACAGAACUUUUUUAAAUA